rnacentral:rRNA from 1 species
UACGGAGGGUGCAAGCGUUAUCCGGAUUUAUUGGGUUUAAAGGGUACGUAGGCGGUGGAGUAAGUCAGUGGUGAAAGCCAACAGCUCAAUUGUUGAACUGCCAUUGAUACUGCUUCACUUGAGUGCAGUUGAGGUGGGUGGAAUUCCAUGUGUAACGGUGAAAUGCUUAGAUAUAUGGAGGAACACCGAUAACGAAGGUAACUCACUAAAACUGUAACUGACGCUGAGGUACGAAAGCGUGGGGAGCAAACGGG